rnacentral:misc_RNA from 1 species
UUUCCGUAGGUGAACCUGCGGAAGGAUCAUUAUCGUACAACGGGGGUGCGAGGGCUGUCGCUGACCCUUCGAAAGGUCGUGCACGCUCGAGCACUCUCAUAAAUCCAUCUCACCCCUUUGUGCAUCACCGCGUGGGUUCCCUUUGCAGGAGGGCCCACGUUUUCACACAAAACUUGAUACAGUGUAGAAUGUUAUUUUUGCGGUCACACGCAAUCAAUACAACUUUCAACAACGGAUCUCUUGGCUCUC